UGGGGAAUAUUGCACAAUGGGCGGAAGCCUGAUGCAGCGACGCCGCGUGGGGGAUGAAGGCCUUCGGGUUGUAAACUCCUUUCGACAGGGACGAAGCUUUUGUGACGGUACCUGUAUAAGAAGCACCGGCUAACUACGUGCCAGCAGCCGCGGUAAUACGUAGGGUGCGAGCGUUGUCCGGAAUUACUGGGCGUAAAGAGCUCGUAGGUGGUUUGUCGCGUCGUCUGUGAAAUUCCGGGGCUUAACUCCGGGCGUGCAGGCGAUACGGGCUGACUUGAGUGCUGUAGGGGAGACUGGAAUUCCUGGUGUAGCGGUGAAAUGCGCAGAUAUCAGGAGGAACACCGAUGGCGAAGGCAGGUCUCUGGGCAGUAACUGACGCUGAGGAGCGAAAGAAUGGGUAGCGAACAGG
rnacentral:rRNA from 1 species